rnacentral:rRNA from 1 species
UGGGGAAUAUUGGACAAUGGGCGCAAGCCUGAUCCAGCCAUACCGCGUGGGUGAAGAAGGCCUUCGGGUUGUAAAGCCCUUUUGUUGGGAAAGAAAAGCAGCCGGUUAAUACCCGGUUGUUCUGACGGUACCCAAAGAAUAAGCACCGGCUAACUUCGUGCCAGCAGCCGCGGUAAUACGAAGGGUGCAAGCGUUACUCGGAAUUACUGGGCGUAAAGCGUGCGUAGGUGGUUGUUUAAGUCUGUCGUGAAAGCCCUGGGCUCAACCUGGGAAUGGCGAUGGAAACUGGACGACUAGAGUGUGGCAGAGGGUAGUGGAAUUCCUGGUGUAGCAGUGAAAUGCGUAGAGAUCAGGAGGAACAUCCGUGGCGAAGGCGACUGCCUGGGCCAACACUGACACUGAGGCACGAAAGCGUGGGGAGCAAACAGG